AUAUAUAUAUAAAACAUUUAACGAUGUCCAGUCCUUGUUGAAAUGUUCAGCAACUCUUAUCAUUUGCUUGAAUCAUGGGUUCAACUUUUCGAUUUAAAAAUAAGUAGGUCUUUGUGUUGCAAUUUGGAAAUAAUCAAAGAUAUUAACUCAGUGGUAAUGUGGAGAAUUUUGGACUUUUAUGUACAUGUAUGACCUUAUUGUGAAUGGACCAACUACAUGUAAUUUGCUGUUCAAAACUUUAACAAGAAUCUCCAUGAUAAAUUAUCCAUAUCAGUUCAACAGGGCAAACAUGCCUUGCAAACUGUGCAAAACAUCUAUAGAUUCUAUGGUAAAAUUUCCUUUGAUUUCAAUUUAUUAUGAAGUGUGACAAACGGACAUCAUUCUAAAGGAUGAUAAAAACAAUGAGAAAUUUAUGGGGCAGCUAGAGGAUCAGAAAACCUUAAUUAUUUCAAUAAAAAGCUGCAUGUAUGUAAUCUGUUUGCAUAGUAUACUAGAGCUUGCAAAAAGAACAUGAAAAAUUGAAGUAAUUUUUUUUUUUUUAAAUUGACCACCAUGUUAACAUACAGUUGUGGAAUUCAUCACUUGCUCAUACAUGUGCAUUCCAUAUUAUCACUAUGUUUUAUGUUAAUAUUUUCUUUCCUUUUGUGUGUGUGCAGCAUUACAUGUAUUAUCCUGGAUAAAAUCAUAGACUUUUAAAAUUGUUAAUUUGAUAAUGCAUAUCAUAUUGUUUUGUGUUACACGUUUAUUUCUUUUUAUACAUUUUCAAGAUUUAAUAUGAUUAUGAUGAAAUUGAUAUUUUAAAUAAAUACAUGUAUAUCAUUGGAAAUAUAAUCACGUAUCCUU
rnacentral:sRNA from 1 species